GAAAUCAAUUCAACAACAACUGCCCCGGUGCUUCCCCGUUGAUGGCACCACUGGUCAGUUAGGGAGGGGAUGGGACAUUGAGGAGCAGGACAGUCUUCAGGAAGCUUACAGUCUGCUUUGGGUUGUUUCAGGAACACAGUCAUCCCUAAGAAAUGGAUUGGGUGACAAGUGGUUUGCAUGCUGCACACGGGCACUGGGUCUCUGAAUGUAACCAAAUUGUUCUCCUCUUAUCAUUCCCAUUCACUGGUGUACUUGUUUGUGGAGCCUGCAGAACUGCCUUUUUCAAGAAUGGCAGCUUGGCCUUUAAAUCUGCUUCCCAGUGAUGGGAAGAGCUGACAGAAGCUUUACAGAGGCACAGGGUGAGUUCCUAAAACCAGAGUCAACACACACUCUUCAUCUAUUUUGUGCUUCACUCCCUGUUCAUCUUCCUAAAACACUGAGUUUGGUCAUAUCAUGUCCUACAAGUUGUCAAUGAUUUCCCAUGAUCUUGUCUUCAGGAUAAAGUUCCUUAGUCAAAAGCAGUGAAGCCCUGACCUAAUCUGUAAGGCAAAGUCAAUACUUUCUAGCCUGGCCUUCCUUGCCCUUCCACGCCCUUCAAGCUCCCAGAGCACCCCCGGCAGUCCAUCCCUCUCUACUUGUCCAGAUGGACACUCUCUUAGAGCCAGUGGCUCCUACUCAUUGUUCCCCGAACACGUCGUGGGAAUGUUUGCCUUCAUACCUUCCCAGAUCAUUUUCCUGAUCUCAGACACCCUCCAUCCUCAUUCAUUCACUCUUCACUUGUCCAACAAGUAUUUGUAGCUCAUGCAACCUGGAUCACCCACAUAGUUUCAAGACUGCAUCUUCUAAACUAUUUAAAUCCUAUCCAUUCUUCAAGAAAUGUUUCAUGACGCUUCCUUAACUGCUAAGGACCCGCAGAAUCUCUUCCUCUUGGGACUCACACACUGACUCAUCUCCCGCUCUUUUGGUGCUCAGCAAAGUGGAGGCCUCUAUUUUGGACUUAGAGUCAAGACAUUAAAUAAGACUAUGCUCUAAAAAGUACACCUAAAAAGUACGAGUGAAUUAACAUCUAUGAGUUUCCAUUUCCUUGUCUAUAAAAUUGUGAAAUUGCAUCUUAAGAUUAGUUCUGAAGAUUAAAUGAGGUAACAUAGGUGAAAAUGCUACAUUUAUGUAAGAAAUUACUCUUUCAUAAGGAUGUCAAUGUUAAAUACGCAUUUUCUCAAUUUUGUUAAAGAAAUACUU
rnacentral:antisense_RNA from 1 species